rnacentral:miRNA from 1 species
GAGCCAGAACCAGAGAACAAGGGAGGGUUCCCAGCCCCUAAGGCAACUGGAUGGGAGACCUGACCACCGGAGGUGAAUUCUCUGAGGGGGCUCUUGUGUGUUCUACAAGGUUGUUCA